rnacentral:rRNA from 1 species
UUAAAGAUAGCGUAAUAGCUCACUGGUCUAGUGAUUUUGCGCGGAAAAUAUAACGGGGCUAAAAUAAGUACCGAAGUCGUAGACUUGCACACAACUUAGUUCUUUAUAAAACAAAGCGUAUAAGUUAUAUUUAAAACUAGCGAUAGCGUUUUUGCAAAGCAAAAAGUUUUAAAAUAUCUUAAGCUAAAAGAGUUAAGUUGUGUGCAAGUGGUAGAAGAGCGUUGUAUUUAGCAUUGAAGGCGUACCGGUAAGGAGCGCUGGAGCAUAUACAAGUGAGCAUGCAGGCAUGAGUAGCGAUAAUUAAUGUAAGAAUCAUUAACGCCGAAAACCCAAGGUUUCCUACGCGAUGCUCGUCAUCGUAGGGUUAGUCGGGUCCUAAGCAAAGUCCGAAAGGGGUAUGCGAUGGAAAAUCGGUUAAUAUUCCGAUACCAACAUUAUUGUGCGAUGGAAGGACGCUUAAAGUUAAUGGGGCUAAGUGAUGGAAUACUUAGUCUAAGGAUGUAGGUUAAGUUGUAGGCAAAUCCGCAACUUUUCAUCCGAGAUCCGAAAGGCUUACAAAACUCUUCGGAGUAGCGUAAGAACCCAUGAUACUAUAGAGCCGAGAAAAGUUUCUAAGUUUAGAUAAUGUUGCCCGUACCGUAAACCGACACAGGUGGGUGGGAUGAGUAUUCUAAGGCGCGUGGAAGAACUCUCUUUAAGGAACUCUGCAAAAUAGCACCGUAUCUUCGGUAUAAGGUGUGCCUAACUUUGUGAAAGAUUUACUCUAUAAGCAAAGAAGGUUACAACAAAGAGUCCCUCCCGACUGUUUACCAUAAACACAGCACUCUGCUAACACGUAAGUGGAUGUAUAGGGUGUGACGCCUGCCCGGUGCUCGAAGUUAAUUGAUGAUGUCAGGAGUAAUCCGAAGCAUUUGAUCGAAGCCCGAGUAAA